AUGGGCUUGUAUGUAUAUAUUAAGGGCUUGAGAUUGCACUUCAGCAAAACUCUUCUCAAAAUGAAAUCCUCUGAAAAAUGCCUACCCAAUCAGUUCUACUUAGCUUCACUCAAGCUGACCUUUGCCUUUAAAGUGGAGACUGUGUCCAUGGUGGUUUAUCCCGAGUGUGUCUGUGAGUCACCGGUUUCUAUAGUUAUAGGUGACCUGUGCACCCAGGAUGGGUUUAUGGAUGUCAAGGUCUACAGCCACCAAACAAAACCAGCUCUAAACUUGAAUACCCUCAGGGUGGGAGACUCGUCCUGCCGACCUACCUUCAAGGUUCCAUCUCAAGGGCUGACACUGUUUCACAUCCCCCUGAAUGGAUGCGGAACAAGAUAUAAGUUCAAGGAUGACAAAGUCAUUUAUGAAAAUGAAAUACAUGCUCUCUGGGCAGAUCUCCCUCCACGCACAAUUUCCAGAGAUAGUGAAUUCAGAAUGACUGUGAGGUGCCAUUACAGCAGAGAUGACCUGCUAAUAAAGACCGAUGUCCAAAGUCUUCCUCCUCCAAUGGCCUCAGUGAGGCCAGGUCCACUUGCCUUGAGCCUGCAAACCUACCCAGAUAAAUCCUACCUUCGACCUUAUAGGGACAGGGAGUACCCUGUGGUGAGAUACCUCCGCCAACCAAUUUACCUGGAACUAAGAGUCCUUAAUAGGUCUGACCCCAACAUCAAGCUGGUCUUAGAUGAUUGCUGGGCAACAUCCACCAUGGACCCAGACUCCCUCCCCCAGUGGAAUAUAAUCACAGAUGGCUGUGAAUACAACCUGGACAAUUACAGAACCACCUUCCAUCCAGUUGGUUCCUCCGUGACAUAUCCUAAUCACUAUCAGAGGUUUGAUGUGAAGACCUUUGCCUUUGUAUCACAGGCCCAAGUGCUCUCUAGCCUGGUCUACUUCCACUGCAGCGCGUUAAUCUGCAAUCAACUCUCUCCUGAUUCCCCUCUGUGUUCUGUGACUUGCCCUGUGUCAUCCAGACAGCGGCGAGCCACGGGCACCACUGAAGAGAAAAUGAUAGUAAGUCUCCCAGGACCCAUCCUCCUGUUGUCAGAUGGCUCUUCACUCAGAGAUGCUGUGGACUCGAAAGGGCACUGGGCUGCCGGAUAUGUUGCUUUUAAGACUGUGGUGGCUGUGGGUGGCUUAGCAGGCCUGGUGGCAACUCUAGGCCUCAUUAGCUACCUGCACAAGAAAAGAACCAUGAUGUUAAAUCACUAAGGAUUUUCAAAUAAAGUGGUUGAAGU